CAAAGGUUGUUGAUGGGAAGCAUCUGCAGUGUAAGUUGGCUAUAGAUGGGAAGAAAGGAAAGCCGCCUGGGCAAGACGGUGGUGCUGGGCCUGGAGGACAUGGUCAAGGUGAUGGAAUGGGGAUGGUGCCUCCUCCUGGGCCUUAUGCUGGUGCUCACGGUGGACCUGGUGGGAUGGGUCCUUACGGUGGGUACUCGGGAGGACCACCGCCGCAUCAUAUGAAUUCCACACCAUCUUCUAUGGGUGGUGCUGCUGCUCCUGCUGGAGGAGGUGGUUAUGGAGGUGCGUAUGCUGGUCAUUAUGGUGGAUACGGUGGUGCAGGAUCUGGGGGUUAUGGAUCAAUGAGUGGUGCCGGUGGGGGUUAUGGUGGGCCUGGUGGUGGAAGUGGUCCGUAUAGAAUGCCGCCGAGUUCGAUGUCCGGUGGUGGUUAUCAAGAGAGUGGGCAUUAUGGGCAUUCGUCAGCUUCAGCAUAUCCUGGACAGCAUCCGCCUGUUGGUUCCUCCACAGUGCCGAGAAUUCCUCUUGGAGGAAUGUACCCCAACGGUCCACCAAAUUACUGAAUGGUGAGAUGGUUUUUCUUGAAAUUGAGUUAUUCUUUAUGCUUGACCUCUUUCUUGCUAGUUGUUGAGCUUUUUGUGCAUGAGGCUUGAUCUUGCUGGUUGUAGAGCUUUUUGUGCAUGAUCAUGGUCUUGCAUUUUUACGUAUUCUUCACUGUAUUUUUUUUACUGCUGCUGUACUUAGGUUUGUUUGCUAUGUGUCCACUUGGGGCUAUUUGCUUCAGUGAUAUUUUCUACUUGAUGUAAUGCCUUAGUAAUCUUUUGGUUAAUUGUUGGGUAAACCUAAAACUAUAAUUAUUUUAGGCGUUAGUAUUAUUUUCAAUCAUAAAUCUGUUACUCUGUCUGCAACCAUCAUUAUCAUCAUUUGCUUCUUUCUGCAACAAAGUGUUGUUUCUCAUAUUUGCUCUAUACGCUGAUUGUAAAGUCUUCUUUUCUGCUUGAAGUAUUAAUCUUCCGUUUGAAGUGACUUGUUUGUUAAUGCUAAUGACCAUAUUGAGUUGUGAAUGAAUGAUUCAGGUUUGUGACAGGGCAACAUAAUAAUUUUCACAAAGAAUAUUUAAAAAAUAUAUUUAUGUUAUGUAGUCUUAUUUUAUAUUUUUUAAAUAAUGUAAUACAAUAUUAUACAUUAUUUUUUUAGAAUUGAGAAAUACAUAUAAUAUCUUAUCCGCGCGUAGCGCGGUUAAAAAAUCUAGUUCUGGUAAAGUUAUUAAUUAAAAAUCUGUCGGGUCUGAAUCUAAUUAAAACUUACACUAAAAUUUAUUUGUUUAAGUCGCCAGAGUAAACGACCAACAGCAGCGAUAGUCGAUAGCGAUUACUAUACCGCUAUUUUUCAUAGCUGCCACUGAAUGUAUCAAUGAUUAAAAUUUAAUCGGCAGUCAUCGAUCAUUACGAUAGCUAAAUGAACAAUAUUUGACUACUAUCACUAUCGAUUAUCAGACGAACAGCGUAUAAACUCAGCAGUUGCUUGGCUUCAUCUGACGGCAAGAGUGCGGGAGAAACAGACAAUGGUAAAGGAGACUAGGCCUUCUCUUACACCUUAAUUACAGUUUUAUUGGGCUGGGCCUCAUAAACCAGCUCGAAAAGCCCAACACAGGAUUAUAAAAAUAAACAACAGACCUUCCCUCUUGCUGUAACUUGUAACCCUUUGUCGUCUGGAUUAGGGUUAAGGAUAUUAGGCGAAAGGUAUCUUCUCCUCAUCUUCUACACACAAACCCCUCGAUCAUGGAUAUGUUGAAGAAGCGACGUCUCGACGAGAACGGCAUCGGGCUCCUCAACGACGGACACGUCACCACAAUCUCGACUCGAUUAACCCCACACGACGCGAGGAAGAUCAUCGACCGAUUCUCCAACGAUCAGCUUCUCGACAUCUUACAAGAGGCCGUCGCUCGGCACCCCGACGUUCUCGAGCUCGUUAGAUCAACCGCCGACUCCGACAUCUCUCAGAGGAAGCUAUUCAUCCGCGGCCUCGCGGCGGAGACCACGACGGAAGGUCUCCGAUCGCUUUUCUCCACGUACGGAGAUCUUGAGGAGGCGAUCGUGAUUCUCGAUAAAGUUACGGCGAAAUCGAAAGGGUACGGGUUCGUGACGUUCAAGCACGUGGACGGAGCUCUCCUCGCUUUGAAGGAUCCGUCCAAGAAGAUCGACGGGCGCGUGACGGUCACGCAGCUCGCGGCGGCGGGGAAUCAAGGGACGACGGCGCAUGUUUCGGAUAUAUCGACGAGGAAGAUAUAUGUGGCGAAUGUGCCGUUUGAAAUGCCUGCGGAUAGGUUGUUGAAUCAGUUUCUUGCUUAUGGAGAUAUCGAAGAAGGGCCUUUGGGUUUUGAUAAAGUUACUGGGAAGUCACGGGGGUUUGCUUUGUUUGUGUAUAAGACUUCUGAAGGUGCUCAGGCUGCGCUUGCUGAUCCUACAAAGGUUGUUGAUGGGAAGCAUCUGCAGUGUAAGUUGGCUAUAGAUGGGAAGAAAGGAAAGCCGCCUGGGCAAGACGGUGGUGCUGGGCCUGGAGGACAUGGUCAAGGUGAUGGAAUGGGGAUGGUGCCUCCUCCUGGGCCUUAUGCUGGUGCUCACGGUGGACCUGGUGGGAUGGGUCCUUACGGUGGGUACUCGGGAGGACCACCGCCGCAUCAUAUGAAUUCCACACCAUCUUCUAUGGGUGGUGCUGCUGCUCCUGCUGGAGGAGGUGGUUAUGGAGGUGCGUAUGCUGGUCAUUAUGGUGGAUACGGUGGUGCAGGAUCUGGGGGUUAUGGAUCAAUGAGUGG
rnacentral:lncRNA from 1 species